UGACUGCGUACCUUUUGUAUAAUGGGUCAGCGACUUAUAUUCUGUAGCAAGGUUAACCGAAUAGGGGAGCCGGAGGGAAACCGAGUCUUAAUUGGGCGUUAAGUUGCAGGGUAUAGACCCGAAACCCGGUGAUCUAGCCAUGGGCAGGUUGAAGGUUGGGUAACACUAACUGGAGGACCGAACCGACUAAUGUUGAAAAAUUAGCGGAUGACCUGUGGCUGGGGGUGAAAGGCCAAUCAAACCGGGAGAUAGCUGGUUCUCCCCGAAAGCUAUUUAGGUAGCGCCUCGUGAAUUCAUCUCCGGGGGUAGAGCACUGUUUCGGCUAGGGGGCCAUCCCGGCUUACCAACCCGAUGCAAACUGCGAAUACCGGAGAAUGUUAUCACGGGAGACACACGGCGGGUGCUAACGUCCGUCGUGAAGAGGGAAACAACCCAGACCGCCAGCUAAGGUCCCAAAGUCAUGGUUAAGUGGGAAACGAUGUGGGAAGGCCCAGACAGCCAGGAUGUUGGCUUAGAAGCAGCCAUCAUUUAAAGAAAGCGUAAUAGCUCACUGGUCGAGUCGGCCUGCGCGGAAGAUGUAACGGGGCUAAACCAUGCACCGAAGCUGCGGCAGCGAACGUAUCACUUAAAGCGAUUCAGCGGGUUACGAUUGACGGAGCGAAGCGACGUCAAAGCGUAUACAAAGUCGAGUCGGUUUAAGGAUACGUUCGUUGGGUAGGGGAGCGUUCUGUAAGCCUGCGAAGGUGGCCUGUGAGGGUUGCUGGAGGUAUCAGAAGUGCGAAUGCUGACAUAAGUAACGAUAAAGCGGGUGAAAAGCCCGCUCGCCGGAAGACCAAGGGUUCCUGUCCAACGUUAAUCGGGGCAGGGUGAGUCGACCCCUAAGGCGAGGCCGAAAGGCGUAGUCGAUGGGAAACGGGUUAAUAUUCCCGUACUUGGUGUUACUGCGAAGGGGGGACGGAGAAGGCUAUGUUGGCCGGGCGACGGUUGUCCCGGUUUAAGCGUGUAGGUGUGUGUUCCAGGUAAAUCCGGUUCACUUUAACACUGAGGCGUGACGACGAGGCACUACGGUGCUGAAGCAACAAAUGCCCUGCUUCCAGGAAAAGCCUCUAAGCAUCAGGUAACAUCAAAUCGUACCCCAAACCGACACAGGUGGUCAGGUAGAGAAUACCAAGGCGCUUGAGAGAACUCGGGUGAAGGAACUAGGCAAAAUGGUGCCGUAACUUCGGGAGAAGGCACGCUGACACGUAGGUGAAGUGAUUUACUCAUGGAGCUGAAGUCAGUCGAAGAUACCAGCUGGCUGCAACUGUUUAUUAAAAACACAGCACUGUGCAAACACGAAAGUGGACGUAUACGGUGUGACGCCUGCCCGGUGCCGGAAGGUUAAUUGAUGGGGUCAGCGCAAGCGAAGCUCCUGAUCGAAGCCCCGGUAAACGGCGGCCGUAACUAUAACGGUCCUAAGGUAGCGAAAUUCCUUGUCGGGUAAGUUCCGACCUGCACGAAUGGCGUAAUGAUGGCCAGGCUGUCUCCACCCGAGACUCAGUGAAAUUGAACUCGCUGUGAAGAUGCAGUGUACCCGCGGCAAGACGGAAAGACCCCGUGAACCUUUACUAUAGCUUGACACUGAACAUUGAGCCUUGAUGUGUAGGAUAGGUGGGAGGCUUUGAAGUGUGGACGCCAGUCUGCAUGGAGCCGACCUUGAAAUACCACCCUUUAAUGUUU
rnacentral:rRNA from 1 species